rnacentral:rRNA from 1 species
ACCAGACUCCUACGGGAGGCAGCAGUGGGGAAUAUUGCACAAUGGGGGAAACCCUGAUGCAGCGACGCCGCGUGAAGGAAGAAGUAUUUCGGUAUGUAAACUUCUAUCAGCAGGGAAGAAAAUGACGGUACCUGACUAAGAAGCCCCGGCUAACUACGUGCCAGCAGCCGCGGUAAUACGUAGGGGGCAAGCGUUAUCCGGAUUUACUGGGUGUAAAGGGAGCGUAGGCGGUGCAGCAAGUCAGAAGUGAAAGCCCGGGGCUCAACACCGGGACUGCUUUUGAAACUGUUGAACUAGAGUGCAAGAGAGGUAAGUGGAAUUCCUAGUGUAGCGGUGAAAUGCGUAGAUAUUAGGAGGAACACCAGUGGCGAAGGCGGCCUGCUGGACGACAACUGACGGUGAGGCGCGAAAGCGUGGGGAGCAAACAGGAUUAGAUACCCCUGUACUG